GGGGGAUGAGGAUCUGGGGGAUGCGGAGGGGGGGGAUUAUAAUUUGGGGACAGAUGAGCACUUCAGGAACAAAAAGUGUGUAAUGGGAAGAGUAUAGAAAACAUGAGCAGGGCGUUGAUUCAGGACACAAAGAAAGCAUUUAAAGAGGGAGGAUACAUUCUGAAAGCAGAGGAGAGGGGGUUGUAUAGCAUAAUGAGAGCAAGUGAUGGGGAUACAUUGAUAGUGGGGUACU